AAAGAGAUGGAUAAUGGAGUACGUGACUGUUUGACUUUUUUCAUGAUCGAAACUUCUCGGCGAUCUUUUGUUUACAUUUUGGAAAAUAUCUUUUAUCAUUAUGAAGAAAGGAAAUUGGCUUAUUUUGAAUUCGGCUUUUUCUUAGUUUAAGGUUAUUGUACUUUUAAUUGCUGAUUUGUUUCUUAUGUACUUUAUUCGACGACGUUGACACAUCUGUUGGCUGAUUCCACUAUAAUGACUUGACGCUACAGGCAUUGUAACGAUUAAAGUAGGUUAAUGUUUGUCAGAGACAUCUCAUCCUAUCUAAACAUUUCGUAUUUAGUCUGCUCAUUUGGUUAACCUUUUACUGUACUUAGUAUUUGACCGUUACACAUUCGCUUUUCUCACGUGCUUUGGUUUUUGAGAUGUUUGCAACGCACGCAACUUCAAAUAUCUUUAUCUUUGACAUUCAUUAUUAUUAAGAGUUAAUCGAUACAAUAAAUAAAACUUUGAAUGAUAUUAUGGAAUUCCGACGUGUGGAAAUUUCUCCAUCUUUGGCAGAUACACGUCUACUGCUCUACAGUUGAAGGGAAAUCACUUCGAAAAGGGUUUUCUGCCUCAAAUCCUGACCGGGUAACCCCACAUGCAUUAAAGAAUUCGUGCUGAAGAGCUGUUUUGGCCUUUACUCGUUUCGAUGCUAGAUAAUUGUUAGCCAUUCAAUUUUUAAUUAAUUCCUGCCAUGUUGUUUUAUACAACUGGAGUUUGGAAAUCAAGAUACUAGUUUCAGAGUGGAUAGCCCCAGGCUUCGUUAAAAAACCUAAAAAGCAUCAUAAAAGAAGACAAUCCAUGAAUGAAACAAUAAAAAAAAGGCCAUUUCGGUUCGCGUUUUUUUUUGUCAUUUAAGAAUUUUCCUCCUAGUCCACUUCCUAGUAUUUUGUUUUUGGGAUUUGCACGUACGAUGUAAUUCUAAUAACUUGUCCAACAAGUCAAUGGCUAAAGCCACUUGAUAAUCUGAGCUUGUCUCUAAAAUUAAAUUCUCAUCAUUCUUCGUAAUGCUAGCAAUUAGGUCUAGCCAAUUAUGCUUUUGAUCUAGUAGAGUCGGAAUGUUAUCUGACCAAAUUUGUCCUGAGAGAAAUACAAGUUAGCACCUCAAAAGUUGUCUCAAAAAGAUUUGAAGCAUUGGUUAGAAAACGAUUUCUCUCUUCGUUUUUUCAACUUUUACGCUCAAGUGUUUAAUAACUACUUACCAUGUAAUAAUGCGCAGUUUGACAUGCCAUUUCUUCCAAAGAUAUGUGCUAAUUCUACGAUUGCAUCGAUAUCAUCUUCACAGCGGAAAAAAGGAUAUCGAUGUGUUAAAAAACACAACAAAAUGACUCCCACUGACCACACAUCAAUUGAGGAUGUUUGAUUUUGGCAUCGAAACAAUACCUCAGGCGCUCGAAAUCCUCUUGUUCCGGCUCGGUCAGCACGUUUUGUAGGCCUUGGAUCAUGUAGCAAGUAACCCUCUGGAGGAUCUGCUAUCGUUUUCUCAAAUGGAAAAUAAUCGUAAUAUUUUCCUUCUUGCUUCAGUUUUCUCAAUUUAUCGACACAGCAAUUUUCUGUAGGUGCAUCUGCCUCUUGCCAUUGAGCUAAUCCAAAGUCAAGUAUGACUCCCCUUUGGGUGUAAGGAUUCCAAGCAAAGUUACCUGGUUUGAUAUCUCGAUGAAUUAUGCCCUUUGCAUCUAUAUGUGCCAACCCUUUCAAGAGGUCUCUUAAGUACGCACCAAUUUCUGGAAGAGAAUAUUUCAUAUAGAAGUCCCGGAACUCUGCAUGUUGUAUAAACGGUAGUACAAUUAACACUUGAUCUUGAUGUCUUACAGCAGUUAUCAUAUUUAGUACACAAUCACUGCCUCGUAGUUCAUGUAGCAUCUCAAGUUCAGUUUGGAUUCUUGAGGGAAGAACGGUGGCAUAAAUUCUUUUCAAUGCAACAAAAUGGUUUUUUGGUCUCUUGGUUUUGUCAUGGGGCAUCUGAUCUUCUAUUUGAGAUGAUAUCCAGUAGGAGUUAUCGUAGCUAUCGAAAUGUCUAUCCACCGCUUUAAAGACGCUGCUAAAACUUCCUGCUCCUACUAACUUAACCACAUGAUAGUCUUCUUCAAUGGUAGGGAAUGCUUGCACCAAUUUAGCAAUUUCUGGUCGAUCUUCUCGAUCUACAUCACUGGCGUAUACACCUGAAUUUCCGAAAGGUAAUAGCAUGGAAAGCAUUUCCUGUUUUAAUUUUUAUUUUAGUCGCCUUUUGUUUGGUAAAGUGCGGGCUGUUAGAUGAGGCACAAUUUUCAUUAAUAGUUUGUUUGUUUGUUUACUUCGCCAAACCCAAAUAUUUCCCUCUAAGCAAAACUUACUUUUUGUUCCCUAAGCUUUGCUAUAUCGGCCCAAAGCAAAUGAAAAUGUAAACAAAUGAUGCCAAUGAAGCACUCCAAUUUGUUUAUACAAAUUUUCAAUCCAUGAUCAUCAUUAAACGGUAGACAGUGUCAAAGUAAAUUACUAGACCAGCUAGUAAUUUAAAUUACAUAUAUUUCCUUUAUAAAAAAAUUUACUUUAGCUCUAUAACUGGUAACAUUUAGAGUCCUAUUUAGAACGAAAGCAUAAUUUAUCAAAAUUUUUUAGUAUGUAAACAAUAAACAGCACACCUGUCAUAACCAAUUUUUGAGAUUUCUUCA
rnacentral:lncRNA from 1 species